CCCUUCUGCAUCAACAGAGGUCUGCUAUAAUUGUGUGAUCCAGAUUUUCUGUUUCAUGCAAUGAUGAUAGCAGAUUUUUUACGUGGAAGCAGAUUAUUGUGCACUUGACUGAAAAUGAGAUGUGGUCGAACCUCUUUCUUAAUGUUCUUUGGCUGCAAUCUCAAGGUCAAGUGCCACAAUU
ensembl:snoRNA small nucleolar RNA SNORA81